rnacentral:rRNA from 1 species
UUUUUUUACGGAGAGUUUGAUCCUGGCUCAGGACGAACGCUGGCGGCGUGCCUAAUACAUGCAA